rnacentral:rRNA from 1 species
UACGUAGGGGGCUAGCGUUGUCCGGAUUUAUUGGGCGUAAAGAGCGUGUAGGCGGCCAGGUAGGUCUGCUGUGAAAACUCGAGGCUCAACCUGGAGACGCCACCCGAUACUGCCAUGGCUAGAGUCCGGUAGGGGACCACGGAAUUCCUGGUGUAGCGGUGAAAUGCGCAGAUAUCAGGAGGAACACCGGUGGCGAAGGCGGUGGUCUGGGCCGGAACUGACGCUGAGGAGCGAAAGCGUGGGGAGCGAACAGG